GCUGAAGUAAUGCCAGCAAAGGAAAGAACAGAGGAAGCCCAGCAGCCAGCAGAGAAGUCCUCGAAGACCACAGGUUUGGGCAGCUGGUUAAUAGGAAGAGAGCCUCCUCAGCGAUAACACGUGUGUUUAGGAGGAGAGGUGGCAAAGGGGUACUACUGCCCACAGCAAGGAGGGUGUCGGCCAGGUUAAGAGCAGGUAACUGGAGAACUUCUGUAUUACGGUUGGCCAUAUGAAGAAAGUACUAUUUGGUGUAACUAAUAGCACGGGUGAGAACUUUGGAAAUAGUCAUUCAAACAAGCUCCGUUACUUCACAGUAUGAGACAUUUAAGCAAGUGCUCUGAGUGGGCUUGGUAAAUACAUUAUUUAUGCAUGCAUUUAUCUCAUGCAACCCACAAGAGUCCCGAGAAGGCUACUACCAGCCUGAAGAUGAGGAUAUUGGGAACCAGUUCCUCCAGAAAAUUGCCCAGAUCACACAGCAAGCAACUGGCAGAACUGGGAUUCCAGCUCAAAUCAGUACAAUGCCACAGUGCCUUUACAUUACGCUAUGGGUAAAAUUAAUAGUUCAACCCUGAAACAUCUUUGACAAUGAUCUUGCAAUCAGUCCUGAAUACUUUUCUGUGAGGCUCAAUAGCUCAGCAAAACUUAGAGUUCUACAGCCAAUAAGAACUGGAUACACGGAGGAGUUGUCUUAUAAACAGAAGUGUAUCUGAACAGGUGUAUCUGCCUUAAAAUUGAAAAUCAUCAGGAAAUCUCUUAUCCAUUCUUAAUUACAAGUUCAUGCAAAAAACCAACAAAUUAGUGGCCCUCUGAAAGAAGUUAACAGUAAAGAUGUUUACAUGAAGAAACAUUUCUGGGUUGGAUGAAAACAAAGUGAAAAAUGACAAACAGUCACCCACCCUCCCAUGAGCAGGAACACCCAACAUAGAUAAUGACUUUUGGUGCACAGCGCAGAAACCCUUGUCAGCAGUCGGUUCAGCCAAUUUAGGGCACAUCACCUUGGAUUUGGUCUUUCAGAAUGGUAAUUAAAUUGUAGUGAAAAAAAUUUAAGACCCUAAUGGGAGCAAUCCUGGGUCCUAGAGAGGGUUGGGGGAGUGGCGUGAGAAGGGGUAACAGGCUCCACCGCUUUACUAAAAAUGUCCUACAAAGAUUUUCCCAACUGUAGGGCGGCUGUCCCCCUGUUAGGGAAACACCUGCGGGUAAGAGUCUCCAUAAGCAGCCUCGGUGUGAAUUGCUAAAGGACCAUCCACGCCGGCAACAGCCGGUUCUCCUGCAAGACGCAGGGGCCAGGCAGACAAAGCGCGCGCACUGCGGCUCGGGUCCCCUCUCUUGGAGACAGUCUUGGAGACUCUGGGAUCUUUCCUUAACAGGAAGCCCUUAUUUCAUAAAGGGCUCGGUCCCUAGCCCUCCUUCCAGGCCAGGACCGCACCAGAAAACAAAGACGCAGCUUCUGCGCGGUCGGCCAGCAGAGGUGACGAACUGGCGGACUGUGACCCACCCGACCUCCACCUGCCGGACAGGAGACCGCGCCCGGUCCGGCUAGGGCGUGGCCACACCGCCCACGUGCGAGCCGGGGAAACCCGGAGGGGACCCCGCCCAACCAGCCUGCUGCCCCUCGGGGGUCCCGGGCCCGGGCCCGCGCCCGCACACGGCCUCGUCCGGGCUGCUCCUGCAAUGCUGCAGUGAGCGCUGCGGGCCCGGGCCGCUGCCGCGGGGAGCCACCUACACCCCGGGACCGCCCCACGGGCCGGCCGAAGCCUGCGCACCGGGGGAGGACGCCCUCGGGAGGGGACGCCCCGGCUGCCCCGACUUCGCCCGCCCUGCGGCCGAGGGAGCUGGCCCGACCUACCGGCGGCGGCGGCCCUUCUCGGCGGGCGCGCUCACGUGCCGCGCGGAGGGCCCGGCAGCGCUGCGGCAGGGAGAAGACUUCCUGAUACUUGGUAAAACAUAUCUCUACAAUGGAAUACUAUGUAGCUGUAAGAAAGAAUAAGAAAGCUUUGCGUCCUGAUCUGGAAAGAGACCCAAAUAAAAGAAAUAGAACCCCUGGGUGGUUCUCAAGGAACAGCCCCGUGCUCACUCUUGCUGACGGAUGCCACCUGACAAUCCACACGGCUGGACUUACCAUGAGGUUUGAUUAUCGGCAGUAAUUCGAUGCAGACA